CGAUGAUGUGGAAGGAGAUAUACCCGAGGAUUGUCCUGAUGACUCACAUUUCUUCCCCAGGAAGGAAGCAAUGGGACGAGCCACGGUGUGCAGGGGGAGGUGACAUACCGUUAUGACACCUGCCAGCAGACUUUUGCCAACCUUUGAAACCCGAGGAUCCAUCAGAGACACGUCCACAGUGACGAGAGUGUAUCCCUGCGACGUCUGCACCAAGACUUUCAAAUGCAUGAAGGACGUGACGCGCCUCCGACGACAGGUGCAUGAGGGAGGCGGCGUGCGGCACACCGGUCUUGUGUGUAACAGGGCACUGAGCUCUAAGACAGCGUUGAGGUGGAGGGGAGAGUGGAGUUGGAGGUAGGCUCCAGGAGGGGGCCAUGUUGGUACAUGGUGAGCCUUUCACCCUUUCAGCCAACCCUUCCAUCACCCUGGUCAGCCACACCACCCUGGGUGGGUUCACGGUCAUCCAGACAGAGAUGCAGGCAGGGACCCACCUACGCAUUGUCACCACAGACGGGGCCGGUGUCAUCUCUCUGGAUGGAUCCACUGUCUCUGUCCCCUUCUCCGUGUCCUCUAUCCUCUAUAUAUCACUAGCCACUUUAAACAAUGCUACUUAAUGUUUACAUACCCUACAUUAUUUCUCUCAUAUGUAUACGUAUAUACUGUACUCUAUAUCAUCUACUGCAUCUUUAUGUAAUAUAUGUAUCACUAACCACUUUAAACUAUGCCACUUUGUUUACAUACUCAUAUGUAUAUACUGUACUCGAUACCAUUACUGCAUCUUGCCUAUGCCGCUCUGUACCAUCACUCAUAUAUCUUUAUGUACAUAUUCUUUAUCCCUUUACACUUGUGUGUAUAAGGUAGUAGUUUUGGAAUUGUUAGAUUACUCGCUGGUUAUUACUGCAUUGUGGGAACUAGAAGCACAAGCAUUUCGCUACACUCGCAUUAACAUCUGUUAACCAUGUGUAUGUGGCAAAUAAAAUUUGAUUUGAUUUUGAGGUGUGAUGGUGUGGGGGGGCUUUGCUGAUGACACUGAUUUAUUUAGAAUUCAAGGCACACUUAACCAAUAUGGCUACCACAGCAUUCUGCAGCGAUAUGCCAUCCCAGCUGGUUUGCGCUUAGUGUGAAUAUCAUUUGUUUUUCCAACAGGGCUGGC
ensembl:lncRNA